rnacentral:rRNA from 1 species
CCUAGUAACGGCGAGUGAAGCGGCAACAGCUCAAAUUUGAAAUCUGGCUCUUUUAGAGUCCGAGUUGUAAUUUGCAGAGGGCGCUUUGGCUUUGGCAGCGGUCCAAGUUCCUUGGAACAGGACGUCACAGAGGGUGAGAAUCCCGUACGUGGUCGCUGGCUAUUGCCGUGUAAAGCCCCUUCGACGAGUCGAGUUGUUUGGGAAUGCAGCUCUAAAUGGGAGGUACAUUUCUUCUAAAGCUAAAUAUUGGCCAGAGACCGAUAGCGCACAAGUAGAGUGAUCGAAAGAUGAAAAGCACUUUGGAAAGAGAGUCAAACAGCACGUGAAAUUGUUGAAAGGGAAGCGCUUGCAGCCAGACUUGCUUGCAGUUGCUCAUCCGGGCUUUUGCCCGGUGCACUCUUCUGUAGGCAGGCCAGCAUCAGUUUGGGCGGUGGGAUAAAGGUCUCUGUCACGUACCUCUCUUCGGGGAGGCCUUAUAGGGGAGACGACAUACCACCAGCCUGGACUGAGGUCCGCGCAUCUGCUAGGAUGCUGGCGUAAUGGCUGUAAGCGGCCCGUCUUGAAACACGGACCAAGGAGUCUAACAUCUAUGCGAGUGUUUGGGUGUCAAGCCCGAGCGCGUAAUGAAAGUGAACGGAGGUAGGAACCCGUAAGGGUGCACUAUCGACCGAUCCUGAUGUCUUCGGAAGGAUUUGAGUAAGAGCAUGGCUGUUGGGACCCGAAAGAUGGUGAACUAUGCUUGAAUAGGGUGAAGCCAGAGGAAACUCUGGUGGAGGCUCGCAGCGGUUCUGACGUGCAAAUCGAUCGUCAAAUUUGGGCAUAGGGGCGAAAGACUAAUC